GACGAACGCUGGCGGCGUGCCUAAUACAUGCAAGUCGAACGCUUUUUCUUUCACCGGAGCUUGCUCCACCGAAAGAAAAAGAGUGGCGAACGGGUGAGUAACACGUGGGUAACCUGCCCAUCAGAAGGGGAUAACACUUGGAAACAGGUGCUAAUACCGGAUAACACUAUUUUCCGCAUGGAAGAAAGUGGAAAGGCGCUUUUGCGGCACUGAUGGAUGGACCCGCGGUGCAUUAGCUAGUUGGUGAGGUAACGGCUCACCAAGGCAACGAUGCAUAGCCGACCUGAGAGGGUGAUCGGCCACACUGGGACUGAGACACGGCCCAGACUCCUACGGGAGGCAGCAGUAGGGAAUCUUCGGCAAUGGACGAAAGUCUGACCGAGCAACGCCGCGUGAGUGAAGAAGGUUUUCGGAUCGUAAAACUCUGUUGUUAGAGAAGAACAAGGAUGAGAGUAAAAUGUUCAUCCCUUGACGGUAUCUAACCAGAAAGCCACGGCUAACUACGUGCCAGCAGCCGCCGUAA
rnacentral:rRNA from 1 species